rnacentral:rRNA from 1 species
UACGUGGGGUGCGAGCGUUGUCCGGAAUUAUUGGGCGUAAAGGGCUCGUAGGCGGUCUGUUGCGUCGGGAGUGAAAACUCAGGGCUUAACCCUGAGCCUGCUUCCGAUACGGGCAGACUAGAGGUAUGCAGGGGAGAACGGAAUUCCUGGUGUAGCGGUGAAAUGCGCAGAUAUCAGGAGGAACACCGGUGGCGAAGGCGGUUCUCUGGGCAUUACCUGACGCUGAGGAGCGAAAGUGUGGGGAGCGAACAGG